CCUACGGGUGGCAGCAGUAGGGAAUAUUGCUCAAUGGGGGAAACCCUGAACCAGCAACGCCGCGUGGAGGAUGAAGGUUUUCGGAUUGUAAACUCCUUUUGUUAGAGAAGAUACUGACGGUAUCUAACGAAUAAGCACCGGCUAACUCCGUGCCAGCAGCCGCGGUAAUACGGAGGGUGCAAGCGUUACUCGGAAUCACUGGGGGUAAAGGGCGCGUAGGCGGGAUAGCAAGUCAGAUGUGAAAUCCUAUGGCUUAACCAUAGAACUGCAUUUGAAACUGUUAUUCUAGAGUAUGGGAGAGGUAGGUGGAAUUCUUGGUGUAGGGGUAAAAUCCGUAGAGAUCAAGAGGAAUACUCAUUGCGAAGGCGACCUGCUAGAACAUAACUGACGCUGAUGCGCGAAAGCGUGGGGAGCAAACAGGAUUAGAUACCCGAGUAGUC
rnacentral:rRNA from 1 species